UCCGUAGGGGGCGAUCGUUGUCCGGAAUUACUGGGCGUAAAGAGCUUGAAGGCGGUUUGUCGCGUCGUCUGUGAAAACUCACAGCUCAACUGUGCGCUUGCAGGCGAUACGGGCAGACUUGAGUACUGCAGGGGAGACUGGAAUUCCUGGUGUAGCGGUGAAAUGCGCAGAUAUCAGGAGGAACACCGGUGGCGAAGGCGGGUCUCUGGGCAGUAACUGACGCUGAGAAGCGAAAGCGUGGGUAGAGAACAGG
rnacentral:rRNA from 1 species